AGGAUUUCACCUGCAUGGUCAAUUUUUACCUAGAAUGGGGCUAUGCCUGCAUUAAUUUGUCACCAGUGGAAUAUAAAUGUGUGCCUGCCGAGAAUGAUUGAUUUUGACGAGGAGCAGUGGGUUAUUCAGAAAAUUGGAAACCAAAACCCCGGAAGUCUGUAUUUCUCAGCACCGAUAGCUCCUUCCUAGCCAGGUGACAGGAGAAGAGCUGCUACCUGCCACACCAAAAGUGUCCUUACGUCCAUCCCUCCUGAGAAGGUGACCCUUCUGCAUCCUCCCCCGUAAAAGCUGCAAUUUCACCCUCCCACAGUAGGUCCUAGGACCACCCCAUCUGAGCCAGCUCCCACCUGCUGUUCUGAUCCAGGCAGAGGGGGCAGCCUGAGUGAAGACUGAGACAGGACAGAACGUGGCAUUUCUAGGGACUGGCGGACGGCCAAGGUGACCGGGACCCUGAGGGCUGGGGAAAGCGGCACAAGGAAAGCACUCGAAGCAGCAGAUGAAUCUCACAUUCACGGUUCAGGCCCUGCCAGGAGGUCCCUGCACUGGACAGGACUUGGAAGCGGGGACUAAGGCAGGCCCUGCAUCUGGAGGGCAUUAAGUCCACAAGAUGAGGACUCAGAGAGGGCGGAGACUUGCCCAAGGUCACACAGUAUGAGCUGCAGGUCAGACUGGACCAAAGUCUCUGAUGCCAUGACAAAGGCAGGGCCUCCGUCAUGCCUUCGGAGUAAUGAUACGCUUGCUUUGCUCCUAAAAUACCUUGUAAUUCAGACUUCAUUUUCUCCCAGUGAUGUCUAAGUAGUGAGGUUUGUUCCAGGGCUACUAGCCCCAGCUUGCACCGAUGACUCCUCCGGGCAGGAACGUAUGCACGCAGGCAGGCAGGGGCGCUGGGGUGCUGUCAGGUCCUGCUCGUUUCACGACCACAGCAGCGCAGCUCUCCCAGCAAAAGCAUGAAGGAUGGUGCAAGAUUGAGACGACGCACUCAAGGCGUUCCUCCCGCCUCCCAGACCCGAUAUUGCUCAUCCACCAGGCCCGGCCGUCAUCCUUAAUCUGCAGCCUGAGAGAGGCCUUGCGGGCCCUCCCCGCUAGCAUCGUUCUUGUUGAACCUAUUAGGCUGUUGUUGUCUGCAGCAAACAGCUGAUGCCUCAUGGAAGAUUUAGCAUUUGCUCGGCCCCCCUUCCAUUGAUCUUGUAGUUUGUACAUUUUCUCUUUUUUUAAUAAGCAGGGGCACUUACUGGAAAACUAGAUCUCAGUCACACAGUGGUUUUCAUAUGUUCCUUCUGUUCAUAACCCACCUGGAGUCAGAAUCCUGUCUGUGUGACAGAACAAUUGGUUGCUAUGGAAAUGACUGUACCACCUGGGCUGUGGGCUGCUCCGAAGAGAAGCGGAGGAGCAGCAGCGCUGCACGCGGGAGGGUCGGGGAGGGAGGCGGGUUGCAGACUCCCGGUGCGAUCUCUUAAACUAGAGUCCGAUUUCUUGAGCCCAACCCCUCUGCUCCUUCUUCUCCUGAACCUCUGCGUGUGGCUUCAUGUCCCCACACCCCGGCCCCCACCACCAAUCCCUCCACCCGAGCAUGGAAUUUUCCCUACCUUCUCUUGCCUGCCUCCAAGUCCAGGUGAGGGCCGCCUGCUCACUAGGUGGUUAACCACACCUGGCCAACCCCAUCUCUAAUCUAAACAUCCCAACACCAGUGACUUUGCCCUUAAUUUAUUUGAAUGGAAACACUUGCUUGGUGUCUCAUUAUGCUCUUUCUCCCCUUCUCAGGCUCCUCUGCUUUCUCUUCCCAACAGAAUCCGGCCCCAUGAGAGCACACCUGGGCCCGUGGGGCGCCUCCCCCAGGCGGGGCUCUGCUGACCAGGCUGCUCCCUGACCCCCAGAGAGAGGACAGAUCCCACCCCGCACCCACCCCUCGCCUGUCCCAGUCAAUCUACUUGAUCUUACUUCUUGAGGACAAAUACACCUGCAGCGAUAGGCAAACUGGACAGCUCUGGAUAUCACUGUGAACAGUUGACAACUGAAUGAGAGGGGGAAAAAAAAAAUCAAGCUUCUGUUGCCUCAAAUACCCUCAGAUGAGGAAGAAUGAAAAAAGCGGUGCUUCGUUA